rnacentral:sRNA from 1 species
AUGUAGCACUCGUCCACUGCGGCCCCUGCGCGCCGUCCGCACCCACCUGACGACUGCUAGCCACGUGGUGUAAGCC